GUACCUUGGUAGACAAUGACACAACCAAAAUUCAUGGGAGGACUUGGGUUCCGAGAUUUUGAGUUUAAUCUUGCACUUUUGGCACGUCAGUCCUGGCGUUUGUUACAACACCCAGAAUCUCUUUGUGCCCGCAUACUGAAAGUCAUCUAGUAUCCAACUACAAGCAUCCUCACUACUGAACUUAAGAAUCAUCCCUCUCAGGUCUGGAGUGCGAUCAUGGAAGGCAGAGGUGUUUUAAACCAGGGCCUCAUACGGAGAAUUGGUGACGGAGAAUCUACGGGGAUAUGGGUAGAUGAUUGGAUUCGCAUAAAAGGGACCAUGAGGCCGAUCACUUGCCUUGCAACUGGUAAGUGA
rnacentral:rRNA from 1 species